UCCAGACUCCUACGGGAGGCAGCAGUGGGGAAUAUUGCACAAUGGGGGAAACCCUGAUGCAGCAACGCCGCGUGAGUGAAGAAGUCAUUCGUGAUGUAAAGCUCUAUCAGCAGGGAAGAAAAUGACGGUACCUGACUAAGAAGCCCCGGCUAACUACGUGCCAGCAGCCGCGGUAAUACGUAGGUGGCAAGCGUUGUUCGGAAUAACUGGGCGUAAAGGAUGCGUAGGCGGUUAAACAAGUUAUAUGUUAAAUAUAUAGGCUUAACCUGUAGAAAGCAUAUAAAACUGUUUAACUAGAGUGCAGGAGAGGUAAGUGGAAUUCCUAGUGUAGCGGUGAAAUGCGUAGAGAUUAGGAAGAACACCAGUGGCGAAGGCGACGUACUGGACUGUAACUGACGCUGAGGCAUGAGAGCAUGGGGAGCAAACAGGAUUAGAUACCCGAGUAGAG
rnacentral:rRNA from 1 species